UACAGAGGGUGCUAGCGUUGUUCGGAAUCAUUGGGCGUAAAGGGCGUGUAGGCGGUUUGUUAAGUCAUGUGUGAAAUCCCUCGGCUCAACCGGGGAACGACGCAUGAAACUGGCAAGCUAGAGUACCAAAGAGGGGGGUGGAAUUCCAGGUGUAGCGGUGAAAUGCGUAGAUAUCGGGAGGAACACCUGUGGCGAAGGCGGCCCCCUGGUUGGAUACUGACGCUGAUACGCGAAAGCGUGGGGAGCAAACAGG
rnacentral:rRNA from 1 species